rnacentral:rRNA from 1 species
AUGAGUCAUCCUGAUGGCAUCAACAUCCCUGAUGACAAUUUCUACCUAGGAGAUGCUGGCUAUACAUGUCAGCCAGGUAUUCUUCCACCUAGGAAAACCAAGUACCAUCUGAACGAGUUCGUUGGAAGAAACUAUCCUGGGACUCCACAGGAGCUGUUCAAUCUCAGACACUCCAGCCUUAGAGUUACUGUUGAGAGAGCCUUUGGAGCUCUGAAGAACAUGUUUAAGAUUCUAGGUCAGAAGCCAUUCCACACAUUCGCCACUCGGGUUAAGAUUGUUCUUGCUUGUUGCAUUCUGCAUAACUGGAUCCUGCAAUGGGGUGUUGAUGAACUGGUGCCUGAGGAGGAAGAUGUGAUGCCUGACGAUGUUCUCAGCUCCGGCCAUGUUGUGCAGGCAUUUGACAACAAAGUCUAGAAGAACAAAAGGAUGGACUAGGCACAUGCAAUGUGGGAUAGAGGUCGUACAAGAAUCUGA